UGUGUAGGCGGUUCCUUAAGUUUGCUGUGAAAUCUCCCGGCUUAACCGGGAGGGUGCGGUGAAUACUGAGGGACUAGAGUACGGGAGAGGAAAGUGGAAUUCCUGGUGUAGCGGUGAAAUGCGUAGAUAUCAGGAGGAACACCGGUGGUGUAGACGGCUUUCUGGACCGACACUGACGCUGAGACACGAAAGCGUGGGUAGCAAACAA
rnacentral:rRNA from 1 species